AUUGAACGCUGGCGGCAGGCCUAACACAUGCAAGUCGAGCGAGCGGCGGACGGGUGAGUAAGGUAUGGGGAUCUGCCCGAUCGAGGGGGAUAACUACUGGAAACGGUGGCUAAUACCGCAUACUAUCGGAUGGGCCGAUAUGGGAUUAGCUAGUAGGUGGGGUAAAGGCUCACCUAGGCGACGAUGACUAGCUGGCCUGAGAGGGUGAUCGGCCACACUGGGACUGAGACACGGCCCAGACUCCUACGGGAGGCAGCAGUGGGGAAUAUUGCACAAUGGGCGAAAGCCUGAUGCAGCCAUGCCGCGUGAGUGAAGAAGGCUUUCGGGUUGUAAAGCACUUUCAGUGGAGAGGCGUUACCCACACAAAAAGCCACGGCUAACUCCGUGCCAGCAGCCGCGGUAAUAC
rnacentral:rRNA from 1 species